AGAGGUGGGAAGUCCAGGGGCCAAAGAGUAAAAGUCCUGCCAUAUUUUUGUUCCACCCAUGAACUCAUCAGCGGAUUUCACCAGAGGAGGAACCAAGUCAUUCCUUCCAAGUCACAAACGAGUCUUGAGUCAAAUCCCAAGUCCUCAAAGAGUUAAAGCUAAAGAGAUAAUUAAGUGACUAAUUAAAUGAAGAUGCAUUAGUGAUGAACACCUGCUGUUUACAAUCAACAUCACUGAAGAAAAGAGAAACACAAGAACUACAACUGACUUUAAGCACAGCCUUGGAUGAAAUCAAUAAAAAAAAAAAAAAAAAAAAAAAAAAAAAAACUUUGCCACCAUAAUUGUGGUGAGUAUUUGCUUCAGUUGAUAUCUUGAGCCUUUAAGCGGUUUUCACAAAUUUGCUUCUAUACAAUUGCAAUAUUGUUUUUCAGCAAACAUUUGUGCAAUGCUGAUACAACUCUUGAUCUAGCAGAUCUGUCUUCUCCACAACAACCCAUGCAGAGCUACAGAGAAAGAUCUAGCACAACAAGUCAAGGGUCAAGAGCACAAUUAAACCAAACACUGAUCUCCAUGAUGGUGGCAUCUUUUUAACCAAUAAAACAUCCACAUCUGAUCCUCUGUAAUUCUCAAUAACAGCAGAUGUUAAUCAUUAAUGCACAAUCAUCAUUUAAUUAGUCACUUAAUUAUCUCAUUAACUUUAACUCUUUGAGGACUUGGGAUUUGACUCAAGACUCGUUUGUGACUUGGAAGGAAUGACUUGGUUCCUCCUCUGAUGAAAUCGGCUGAUGAGUUCAUGGGUGGAACAAAAAUAUGGCAGGACUUUUACUCUUUGGCCCCUGGACUUCCCACCUCUG